rnacentral:rRNA from 1 species
GAUCAAAGGAGCAAUUCGCUUUAGGAGGGGGUCGCCGCUGAUUAGCUAGUUGGUGAGGUAACGGCUCACCAAGGCAAAGAUCAGUAUCCGGCCUGAGAGGGCGCACGGACACACUGGAACUGAAACACGGUCCAGACUCCUACGGGAGGCAGCAGUGGGGAAUUUUGCGCAAUGGGGGAAACCCUGACGCAGCAACGCCGCGUGGAGGAUGAAGCCCUUUGGGGCGUAAACUCCUUUCGACCAAGACGAUAAUGACGGUACUGGUGGAAGAAGCACCGGCUAACUCUGUGCCACCAGCCGGGGUAAUACAGAGGGUGCGAGCGUUGUUCGGAAUUAUUGGGCGUAAAGGGCGCGUAAGCGGUGCCACAAGUCACCUGUGAAAUCUCCGGGGCUAAAUCAG